UCAAAAAAUAUUUGACACCUCAAACAGCUUCUGGAGAGGGGCCUUCUGAUCACACAUCCACAGGAACACCACUCUCAUCUACAAGUCAGGCAUCAUGCAGCAGCAGCAGCAGCACUACUACGUCAACCAUACCACCCACCUCUGCAAGUCAGCAUGAAGCAGGUGAAGGGACAAGCGCAGCGUGCAAUGUUCCACAGCCUGAGGACACCCCAGGCCCAUCAACACAUCCUCAAG